GUCUGAGGCCAUAUCACCCUGAACAUGCCCAAUCUCGUCUGGUCUCGAAAGCUAGACAGAGUUGGGCCUGGUUAGUACUUGCCUAGAAGACAGAUCUUCAGAAG
rnacentral:rRNA from 1 species